rnacentral:rRNA from 1 species
UACAGAGGUCUCAAGCGUUGUUCGGAAUCAUUGGGCGUAAAGGGUGCGUAGGUGGCGGGGUAAGUCAGGUGUGAAAUCUCGGAGCUCAACUCCGAAACUGCACUUGAUACUGCCUUGCUGGAGUACUGGAGAGGAGAUUGGAAUUUACGGUGUAGCAGUGAAAUGCGUAGAUAUCGUAAGGAAGACCAGUGGCGAAGGCGAAUCUCUGGACAGUUACUGACACUGAGGCACGAAGGCCAGGGGAGCAAACGGG